CAUCGUCUGACCUCUGUGUGCUUGACACAUGGACGCUCAGCCUCCCCCUCCGAAACCCCCUCCUCAACGCCUCUUCUCCUUUCCAGGGGCUCCACGUGGACUACAAGGGGAGGCAUGGAUGACCAACAGGCCCUCGUCCGUCCUUCCAGUCUGGGCGUUGGGAACUUGCCUUCACUGUGCCCUAAACUGUGUUCCUGCUUUGGUGCCACGAAGGACGGACCGCAGAGCUUUCUGGAGUCGUUUGCUGACUCACUGGCGCACUACGAACCCUUCAAAGGCAGAGAGUGCCUUACUCCUCUUCGCAGCACCGUGCUCC